rnacentral:snRNA from 1 species
AGCUUUGCGCAGUGGCAGUAUCAUAGCCAAUGAGGUUUAUCCAAGGUGCAAUUAUUGCAUAUUGAAGAAAUUCUAUCAUAUCAAAGCUUCAAUCACUACAGUUUAUAUUUAGGCUGAAAAUUAGUUUCUCUACCCAGA